rnacentral:tRNA from 1 species
CUCGGCUCUGGUAGCUUAACUAACAAAGCAUUG